UAUACAUUGUCGGAUGGUCUGUUUAGCAGAAGAUUAAAUUGAUAAGAGAGCCUACAAGAGACUUGCCAGCCGUCGGGGACUUGACUCUCGGUGAAUUGCUCAAGUACAAAUCCCAGGAAGGUGUUCGGGUUCUGUUAUUAGUUUGGGAUGACAAGACCUCUCACGACAAGUUCUUCAUUAACAAGGCAGGAAUAAUGGCGACCCACAAUGAGGAGACCAAGAAGUUUUUUAAACACUCAUCUGUGAUUUGUGUUCUGUCACCUCGUUAUGCCAGCAGUAAGCAUAGCUUUAUUAAGCAGCAAAUUGUUGGAACCAUGUUCACACACCACCAGAAGUGUGUGCUUGUGGAUACACAGGGUGAUGGUAAUAAUCGAAAAAUUACAGCUUUCUUGGGUGGUCUUGAUCUCUGUGACGGUCGCUAUGAUACACCUGAACACCGUCUAUUUCAUGAUCCAAGUCGUAUUAAUUUUCAUUUGGACUCAAGAAAGGCAAGUUUUGCUAAUGUGGAUCCCUCCAUGUAUUCUAGUGAAUUUUAUUUGACAACUUCACACGUACACUGCAGGAAGUAGAAACAACUCCUGCGUAUCCAGAUAUAUGUUUUGUCGUUGAUGAUUUUGAUUCUACUUUUGAUGCAGUGGUAAUGCAUUGGUUCUCUUCUUUAGUAUUUUGAAAUGCUAUCUUCUCCUUUUUUCUAGCUUUGGACUCUGGCAGAUUUAAUAAGAUAAAGAGGAAUGCUUAACCAUAGUUGCAGAAAUGGUGGUACUUGGUAGAAUUACUUGUUACACUUGUUGCUGUUCAUAGAUGCAUUCAAGCUUUAGCAUGCUGUUCAAACUCACUUUGAUGAGGCUGUUUCCCCAAUUGCAUAUAUUUAUGUGUCCCA